rnacentral:piRNA from 1 species
UGAGAAAAUUCAGAUGGUGUCGGAUGCA